rnacentral:tRNA from 1 species
GCGCCCGUAGCUCAAUUGGAUAGAGCACUUGACUACGGAUCAAGAGGUUGGGUGUUCGACUCACCCCGGGCGCA